UGGGGAAUUUUGGACAAUGGGGGCAACCCUGAUCCAGCCAUUCCGCGUGAGUGAAGAAGGCCUUCGGGUUGUAAAGCUCUUUUGUCCGGAGCGAAACGGUCGUGGUGAAUAUCCGCGACUACUGACGGUACCGGAAGAAUAAGCACCGGCUAACUACGUGCCAGCAGCCGCGGUAAUACGUAGGGUGCGAGCGUUAAUCGGAAUUACUGGGCGUAAAGCGUGCGCAGGCGGUUUUGUAAGCCAGAUGUGAAAUCCCCGGGCUUAACCUGGGAAUGGCAUUUGGGACUGCAAGGCUCGAGUAUGGCAGAGGGGGCUAGAAUUCCUGGUGUAGCAGUGAAAUGCGUAGAUAUCAGGAGGAAUACCGAUGGCGAAGGCAGGCCCCUGGGUUAAUACUGACGCUCAUGCACGAAAGCGUGGGGAGCAAACAGG
rnacentral:rRNA from 1 species